UUAGAUUUGAACUCCGGUCCUGCUGACUUCAAAGCUGGUGCUCUAUCCACUGUGCCACCUAACUGCCCCUUGAUUUUCCUAAAGAUCCAAUUUUCCCAAACUUAAAAAACAUCAGGGAUUUUCUACCAACCUGCAAAUGUGAACACUUUCUAUUUCUCACUGAUUAUGGGUAGGGUUCUUACACCUUAGUUCUCAUGACAAUGGCUUCCUUGCUAUUCCAGGAAGAUGAUACCCUAUCUCUCACCUUCAAGACAUUUCUCUGGCUAUUCUCUGGUAAUGUGCUCGCCCUCAUUUGUGCCUCCUAGUUACCUUCAUUUUCCAACUGAAAGCUUUCUUUCUACAGGAAACCUUUAACUGUGGGGAAGAAGACAUUGAACUUCAACAAAUCAGAAGCAUCUUACCGUAGAAAAGAAAGGAGUUUUAAUUUGACAGAGCUCGGGAGAUUUGAGCAUCUCCCCACCACCUAAGGUGGUCUGGCAGUGAAGAGAGGCUAGUCCCCCGCUCAGGAAAAGAAGGGAAGGACAUCUUUGCAGUUAUAAUCAUCUCCCAACAGCCUGCCGAGGACCAAGGCCUGGCCCAAGCAGCAAACCUGGAGCCAGAGGGAAUGGCCCCUGAGAACAGCAGACCCCCACCCCAGGUGAGUGUAUUCUGCCCACAGAUAUGGGCAACAUCAGCCCAAGAGGCCAUUUCCCCGGAUCUGGAGGAUGGUCAGUGAGGCUGGCCAUCUCUCUUAUCUGUGGAUCCUUUACAAAAAUGGGC
rnacentral:lncRNA from 1 species